UACGGAGGGGGCUAGCGUUAUUCGGAAUUACUGGGCGUAAAGCGCACGUAGGCGGCUUUGUAAGUCAGAGGUGAAAGCCUGGAGCUCAACUCCAGAACUGCCUUUGAGACUGCAUCGCUUGAAUCCAGGAGAGGUGAGUGGAAUUCCGAGUGUAGAGGUGAAAUUCGUAGAUAUUCGGAAGAACAUCAGUGGCGAAGGCGGCUCAC
rnacentral:rRNA from 1 species